GGGAGAUGGUGGGGAAGAUGUUACCGAGAGGCACACUCUGGGGAACCCAACCUCCCCCCAAGAGGCUGGCGAAGAACGGGCAAAUUUAACCUCCUGGGAUCUAUCACACGGGUCAAUCACUGAAGAACUAUGGACGGAGGUUCACAACAUCGUACAGGAGGCGGUGACCAAAACCAUCCCAAAGAAGAAGAAAUGCAAGAAGGCAUUUGUGGUUGUCUGAGGAGGCCUUACAAAUAGCAGAGGAAAGAAGAGAAGCAGAAGGUAAGGGAGAAAGGGAAAGAUAUACCCAACUGAAUGCAGAGUUUCAGAGAAUAGCAAGGAGAUAUAAGAAAGCUUUCUUAAGUGAACAAUGCAAAGAAAUAGAGGAAAACAAUAGAAUGGGAAAGACUAGACAUCUCUUCAAGAAAACUGGAGAUACCAAGGGAACAUUUCAUGUAAAGAUGGGCACAAUAAAGGACAGGCAUAGCAAGGACCUAACAGAAGCAGAAGAAAUAAAGAAGAGAUAGAAAGAAUACACCAAAGAACUAUACACUGAUCAAUAUGAAUGCCUUAAAAUAUCAGCGCUACCAGGGAAGAAACACUAGUCUCUUUCAGUGGACCAUUCAUCUGAGCAUCCCGAAUGCUCUGUGAACAUUCAUUCACUAAGUGAAAGUCGCUCAGCCGUGUCCGACUCUUUGCCACUCCAUGGACUGUAGUCCAUGGAAUUCUCCAGGCCAAAAUACUGGAGUGGGUAGCCUUUCCCUUCUCCAGGGCAUCUUCCCAACCCAGGGAUUCAACCCAGGUCUCCCGCAUUGCAGGUGGAUUCUUUACCAGCUGAGCCACCAGGGAAUCCCAAGAAUCCUGGAGUGGUAGCCUAUCCCAUCUCCAGCAGAUCUGCCAGACCCAGGAAUUGAACUGGGGUCUCCUGCAGCAGGCGGAUUCUUUAUCAACGAAGCUCUCAGGCAGGCCCAUCUUGACCUUUACACUUCUCAUGUGAGAAGUGAGUGGAUCCCUGAGUGGGUCCCUUUAAACUCCGAGUUCUUCUAAAGGAUUAGUCUGAAGUUUAGGGCUUUUCCACUUCAUUCAUUAAGCCCUGAUUACAUAGUUAUUGACUGGAAAUAUAUUUAUUGCAUACAGUCAACUGGUUCCUGGUUUCCUGAUUAUGGCUUAACCCCUGCUAUCGUCAUGUUCAAACUACAUGACAGGAGGGCAGUUAGAAAAUUGGGUUCAUCCAGGGACGGAGCUGCUGGGACCAUGGUCUGCUGGGGACAUCAAUUCUAAGGACUCUAAACGGUCCUCAGAUCUUGUCCAUUCUCUGUCCUGUGGCUUCUUUGGAUGCUGGGAACUUACUAAGAUGGACCAUGCCUGCCAGCCUCAUCCAGAAGAUCGGCAGUGGCCUGGUUACCCUCCUGCCGUCUUAAGUCUUGACCUUUACACUUCUCAUCUGAGAAGUGAGUGGGUCCCUGAGGUCCCUUCAAACUCUGAGUUCUGUAAUCCUCUAAAGGAUGAGUCUGAAGUUUAGAGCUUCUCCACUUCCUUCUGCCUUCUCAUAGAGGAAAUUUCCUCCUGGAGGAGGCACUGCUGGGCUAAACUCUGUGUUGGCAUAGGGGUGGGGGGAAGGUGACCUACCAUAUAUUGAGCAAGGGCCAACUAUGGAUCAGGCAGAGGCUGGGCCGUUGGUCAGCAUUUCCCAGGACAUGGUGGGGGACUGGGGGCAAUGGGAUUGGGUGGUUGGCAUGUGUUGGGACCUGACCUGAGCCAUGACAGGCUCAACAGGCCACACUAGGCCUAAGCCUCAGGUUCUGGUAAGCAUGAGUCAUAAUUCUAGGAAGCCCCACCAAGGUCCCCGAUGACGCCAAGGUUAAGUCAAUCACCACGAUGACCCAAGGUUGAGUCAAUCACCACACGCCAACUACACUAUUGCUGAGACAAAGGACUGCCUGUAUAUAAGCAGCUGUGAUUCAGAGCUCAGGGCUCUCGUCAAGACUCCACUGCGCUGGAUGAGACUUGAGCCCUAGCUCGAGCUAGCAAUAAACCCCUUUAUGCUUUUGCAUUGCUGUGGACGUCUUAUUCUCUCAGGUUUGGGGACUCAGACACUGGGCAUAACAGCAUGGAGACCUGAGAUCCUCUGCACAUCUUAGAACCAUAGGCAGGAGCAGUGAUAAAGGAUGAGUCUGAAGUUUAGAGCUUCUCCACUUCAUUCAUUAAGCCCCAAUUCAUAGUCAUUGACUGAAAAUAUAUUUAUUGCAUACAUUCAACUGGUUAAUCUGGAGCCAGACAUCCUGGAAUGUGAAGUCAAGGGGGCCUUAGAAAGCAUCACUAUGAACAAAGCUA
ensembl:lncRNA